rnacentral:hammerhead_ribozyme from 1 species
AUUCAGCCAACGAGUCUCAAAUGGGACGAAGCGUGCGUCCUGGAU